rfam:Freshwater sediment metagenome lwFormaldehyde_BHFI6935_b1, whole genome shotgun sequence.
AGAGUUUCGUACGGUGAAGGUGUAGCGAGCCACAUCGGCCCUGAGUCAUGCGCCGUCGCCCGUGAGGGCGGGGGCGAAGCGUUGACAGGGGAACGUGCGGGCCGGGUAUCCAGCCGCGAAAUUUUGGGAUCACUCCGCGGUGCCGACGCCGUGGCUACAGGCGGAAGGCCACACCGGUCGCGUCGCCAGCGCGAGACGCGAACGGACCCCGCGCGGUCUGAGGCCC